UGCCUAGGAAAUUGCCCUGAUGUGGGGGAUAACCAUUGGAAACGAUGGCUAAUACCGCAUGAUGCCUACGGGCCAAAGAGGGGGACCUUCGGGCCUCUCGCGUCGGGAUAUGCCUAGGUGGGAUUAGCUAGUCGGUGAGGUAAGGGCUCACCAAGGCGACGAUCCCUAGCUGGUCUGAGAGGAUGAUCAGCCACACUGGAACUGAGACACGGUCCAGACUCCUACGGGAGGCAGCAGUGGGGAAUAUUGCACAAUGGGCGCAAGCCUGAUGCAGCCAUGCCGCGUGUGUGAAGAAGGCCUUCGGGUUGUAAAGCACUUUCAGUCGUGAGGAAGGCGGGUACGUUAAUAGCGUAUUCGUUUGACGUUAGCGACAGAAGAAGCACCGGCUAACUCCGUG
rnacentral:rRNA from 1 species